rnacentral:rRNA from 1 species
AGCGAACGCUGGCGGCAGGCCUAACACAUGCAAGUCGAACGAAGCCUUCGGGCUUAUUGGCGGACGGGUGAGUAACACGUGGGAACGUACCUUUUGGUUCGGAACAACUCAGGGAAACUUGAGCUAAUACCGGAUGAGCCCUUAGGGGGAAAGAUUUAACGCCAAAAGAGCGGCCCGCGUUAGGUUAGCUAGUUGGUGAGGGACAGGCUCACACAGGCAACGAUCUAUAGGUGGUCUGAGAGGAUGAUCAGCCACACUGGGACUGAGAAACGGCCCAGAGUCCUACGGGAGCCAGCAGUGGGGAAUCUUGCGCAAUGGGCGAAGGCCUGACGCAGCCAUGCCGCGUGAAUGAUGAAGGUCUUAGGAUUGUAAAAUUCUUUUACCAGGGACGAUAAUGACGGUACCUGGAGAAAAAGCCCCGGCUAACUUCGUGCCAGCCGCCGCCGUAAGAC